rnacentral:rRNA from 1 species
GACGAACGCUGGCGGCGUGCUUAACACAUGCAAGUCGAGCGAUGACUUUUCUUCGAAAAUGGAUUAGCGGCGAACGGGUGAGGAACACGUGAAGAAUCUGCCCUCCACUUUGGGAUAACACAGGGAAACCUGUGCUAAUACCGAAUAUUGAAACAUAAGUGGCAUCACUGAGUUUUGAAAGAAUUUCGGUGGAGGAUGACUUCGCGGCCUAUCAGCUAGUUGGUGAGGUAAUGGCUCACCAAGGCAACGACGGGUAGCCGGCCUGAGAGGGCGACCGGCCACACUGGGACUGAGACACGGCCCAGACUCCUACGGGAGGCAGCAGUGGGGAAUAUUGGGCAAUGGAGGAAACUCUGACCCAGCGACGCCGCGUGCGGGAUGAAGGCCUUCGGGUUGUAAACCGCUUUCAGUAGGGAAGAAGCGAAAGUGACGGUACCUACAAAAGAAGCACCGGCUAACUAUGUGCCAGCCGCCGCUGUAA